rnacentral:pre_miRNA from 1 species
GUUUUAGGAUAAGUAUAUCCCAUGUGGUGUUUGGGACAUACUUAUCCUAAAA